rnacentral:rRNA from 1 species
GAUGAACGCUGGCGGCGUGCCUAAUACAUGCAAGUAGAACGCUGAAGGAAGGAGCUUGCUCUUUCCGGAUGAGUUGCGAACGGGUGAGUAACGCGUAGGUAACCUGCCUGGUAGCGGGGGAUAACUAUUGGAAACGAUAGCUAAUACCGCAUAACAGUAGAUGUUGCAUGAUAUCUACUUAAAAGGUGCAAUUGCACCACUACCAGAUGGACCUGCGUUGUAUUAGCUAGUUGGUGAGGUAACGGCUCACCAAGGCGACGAUACAUAGCCGACCUGAGAGGGUGAUCGGCCACACUGGGACUGAGACACGGCCCAGACUCCUACGGGAGGCAGCAGUAGGGAAUCUUCGGCAAUGGACGGAAGUCUGACGGAGCAACCCCGCGUGAGUGAAGAAGGUUUUCGGAUCGUAAAGCUCUGUUGUAAGGGAAGAACGAGCGUGAGAGUGGAAAGUUCACACUGUGACGGUAUUUUACCAGAAAGGGACGGCUAACUCCGU